CCUACGGGUGACAGCAGUGAGGAAUAUUGGUCAAUGGACGGAAGUCUGAACCAGCCAUGCCGCGUGCAGGAAGACGGCUCUAUGAGUUGUAAACUGCUUUUGUACAAGGGUAAACCUGAAUACGUGUAUUCAGCUGAAAGUACUGUACGAAUAAGGAUCGGCUAACUCCGUGCCAGCAGCCGCGGUAAUACGGAGGAUCCAAGCGUUAUCCGGAUUUAUUGGGUUUAAAGGGUGCGUAGGCGGAUUGAUAAGUUAGAGGUGAAAUGUUCGAGCUUAACUCUGGAACUGCCUCUAAUACUGUUAAUCUAGAGAGUAGAUGCGGUAGGCGGAAUGUAUGGUGUAGCGGUGAAAUGCUUAGAGAUCAUACAGAACACCGAUUGCGAAGGCAGCUUACCAAUCUAUAUCUGACGUUGAGGCACGAAAGCGUGGGUAGCAAACAGGAUUAGAUACCCUAGUAGUC
rnacentral:rRNA from 1 species